rnacentral:lncRNA from 1 species
UUUUUUAUGGUUAAAUCUUGAAUUCCUAACCCAUUCCUAGCCUUAGGUAUAGUAACAGAAGACAAUUGUAGAAGACGAAUCUUUCUUUGGUCAGUGACGGAACCCCAAAAGAAGUUGCGGUCAUAGCGUUCCAGUCUUUUAAUCAUGUAUGAAGGUAACUUACAAGCUUGCAUGACGUGAUUAGGAAUAGAAUUAAUAGUAGAGAGGAUGAGAGUUGAUCUUCCCGCCGCUGACAUGAAAUUUGCUUUCUAACCUGCGAGACGCGAUUUAAAGUUAUCAAAAGGAAUUGAAAAUCUCCUUUCGUUAGCCUUGAAUUUGAGAUAGGAUAUCCCAAGCAUUUUCCAAACCUGACCCCCUCUUUAAUGUUAAUAGUUGACUGCUAUGGCUUUGCUAGUAGAAGACGCAUUUGAUGAGAAAAACGUGAAGGAUUUGGCGUAGUUUAUUUUCUGACUUGAAAUAACACUAAAAUUCAUCAAAACAUUCAAGAUCGUAUUGGAGGUUGAUUUGGUGAGUUUGCCACAUAAAAUAAUGUCAUCUGCAAAAGAAGAUGAGAUAAAAGAGUGUAUAGACACGUAAUUUUAUUCUUCUCGAGAGUGUAUUUUUUACCUGUUUACCUUAUUCCACCAUGUAUCUUCAAUCAUGUGACAAUUUCUCCACCAGAAAACAAAAUAACAAACUCAUAACAAACCCAAUCCCUAAUAUUCUUUUGAUAACAAAAUUAACCGCUCCCCUCAGUAAAAUUGGGACACCUCACACUCCUACCUCAUACCCCCUUCUACCAACAUACCCCACCCCACUCACGUUUUCAACACAUCACACACAAAAAAGAAACACACUCAUACUAGGAAAAUAUAUACCAUCACAAAUAUACACCCACUGGACAGAUCACAAUAUUCACGGGGCCUACCAUAUUCAUACACACUACACAUACACAGAUCCUUCAUCAUUUCCCAUGGAUUAACAGCAACAUACAUACACGCACAGCCAUGGGGGGCUUCUUCGAUUUUUUCCAUUGAACAAAGGGUAACGCACUCACAGACAUCUCACUCGAAAUACACUCUAAGAUACACACAACACACAAAACUCACACACAAUAUUCAUAUACACACAAAGAGAGCAAAAGCUCGCAUUUCACCGAAAAACUCGCGACCACCGAAAACAAACCAUUAACACACACACGAUACACACAGGGAGCUCCAUACAGUGAAAGGAAUUUCAAUGGAGAAGGAGAUCGGACGAGAGAGAUGGUGAGAAAAAUGGAGAACUAAGAGAGAUAGAGAAAAUAGAGAAAGAGAGAUUGAGGGAGAUAAAGAGAAAAAAACGGAGAGGAGAGGGAGAUAUUGGAGCAAGAAAGGAGAGAAAAGAGACAAGGGUUGACUGUUCCGGCGAAGUCUUCAUCGGGAAACGCCACUGCUGCCCAAAUUUUGAUCUGUCCACCAUUUUCAUCAUUGUCGAGCUCGUCGGAGCUCCGGUGAGACGAAAACGGUGAAUUCAGCUCUGUUCCGACCAAAUCGACAAAACUCAACCCCUUUUUAGUCGGUUCCGAUUGAGUCCCGUCGAAAAACGACCAAGUUGAAAAUGAGUCAGUCCCUUUUUAGUCGGUUCCGAUUGAGUCCCGUCGAAAAACGACCAAGUUGAAAAUGAGUCAGUUGGGUCGAUUCAAAUUAGUGUAGAUUUUGGUGUUAUUGUGAGUUGGAUUUGGAGUUUUAUCAUUGAGGUUCGAUUCGAGGUUCCCGGCGGAGUUGGUGUUAUUGUGAGUUGGAUUUGGAGUUUUAUCAUUGAGGUUCGAUUCGAGGUUUCCGGCGCAAACUCCGUCUCAUUUAAUUGAGUAAUACUCGAAUGCAAGAGGCAUUAAGGUCCAUUCUUCAUCUCAUUCUCAAUUAAUCUUGAUUGUUUGACACACUUUGUGUGAUAAAUUUAUUGGUGUGUGAAUCUUGUUUUUGUUGAUUUCGAUAUAUUUUAUAUCAUUGCGACUGAUUGUUGAUAUUGAUUGAUGGUGUGAAUUGGAUAAUCAAAGAAGUUGGGCUCAAUUUGGAGGGUAAAUCUUAAUUGUAGGGAUUAUGUUGAAAGUUGGCUAAUUCGUAACUUCAUUUGGAAUAUUUAAUUUGUUAGUUGAAUAAUUUUGAUGUCGUUGAAUAUGAUAGUACCAUGAUAGGUCGAGUUGAGUAGACAAAUGGUAGGCUCGGGUAGGCAAAUUUAAAACUUGUGGAAUGUUUGAAAUAUUUAUUGAAUGGUUUUUGUUUACCGCAUUUAGAUCAAUAAUAUUCAUUUAGCCGGGGAAUGCCCCAAGGCAAUUUAUAUUUAUUCACAGGGGAAUGCCUCGACGUAUUAUGUUGGCGAAAGAUGAUUGUGAUCAAGGCCUGAGGCAUCGAGUAAAGCAUUGGAGCGUAGUUUAGGAUUAGUGUAGGUUUACUUUUUAGUACCUUUUUAUUUCGGGCUGUAAUAAUUGGACUGGACACUAUAUUUUUGACUUGUUUUGUUUUGAUUGUUUGAUUGUUUUGUGUGUUUUGUGUGGUUUACACAUCAUAAUGUCAAAUUAGCUGAUAUAUUCCAUGAAACGAUCGUGGUCGAACCACGGGACCAAGGGGUGCCUAACAACUUCCCUGGUCAACAGAAUUCCUUAACCAGAAUCUCUGUUCGCGGAUCAGUUUAAAAGAGUCAAAAACAGUUUUGAAAAAAAAAUUUCAAAGGUGACUUGGCACACCCGCUUAUGCCAAGUGGUGACUCUGAGUUAAUUGUAAAAUGAAUUAUUUUUGAAACAAAUUCUAUCUAUUUUCACUUAAUAAUAAAAAUCCUUUCAAACUUACAAUUAUAUUUCUUUGGUUAAAAAAGGGGUGUCACAGCUCUGGUGACUCUGCUGGGUAAUUUUUUUCAAGAAUUCGAGCUUAUUUUUGGAGUUAUAUCGGCUUAGUUUGACAUUAUGGGUGUAUAGAAGUUGUUUGUGUUAUUGUUUGUAUUUGUUUUAUCAUUGUUGAGUGUUUAUUUUCUACAUGUUUACAGUUUUUUCUCUUAUAUAUUACAGUUUUAUAUCUGACAUCAUUUGCAUAACUCGAGUCAAUUCUUUCGCAAUAAGUUUCGUAGUACACGUGUGUACACGACCUCUAGUUGAGUCACCCUUAUUUUAGGAGGGGGAGCCGUCGAGUGUAUAGAGUAGGUGGAAAACUUUUGCAGCCACUAUCGACCAUACGCUCCCCGAACAGCCUUGUUAGUGGACUCCAGCAUAGGUCAGCCUUUAGGUCAUGAUUAUCUGCAUCAUAUUGAGACCCAGUGGGAUCCGCGUGGCCCUUUGUAAGAGACUCACCUCUAAAGCAUUCCUAAGUGCUAAAUGUUGCAUCUUUGAGGGUAAAAAUGUCAUUUAACAAACUCAUUUGGGGAAAACAUGUGCUAGAAUUAAAGAAAGUGUAUGGCAAGAAAGAGUUCGGAAAAAAAAAGAAAAAAAGUGAGUCAAAAAAGAGUUUCGUAUUUUUUUAGAGUUCUUUAUGGCUUUUUCUUUUCAGAAUCCAAGAACAUCGAAAAAAAUUCUUUUGUUCUCUUUAGCAAGCAUUCGUAAUUCAAAAAUUUUAAAAAGAUUUAUUUUAAUAGGAGCUUUUUAUAAAAGAAAAUUCAAAAAAGUGGUAGAAGUUUUGUACACUUCAUAUAACAAAAAACCAAAAAAAAAAAAUUCUUUCAUAGUUGUCGGCGUUAGUUUUAUGUGAAAUGACAAAUUGAAAACUAAAAAAAAAAGAAAAAUAUUUUAUCAAUUGUUUUUCAUUGUUUGUUUUGGUCAUGUCCCUCAAUUCGUGGUCCAUUAGUAUCUUUAAUUGUCUAAUCUGGACGAACUACGCACCCUGAUUCUCCUUCUGAGAGAAUUAAAUACGUAGGCAGCCUAUUGUGAGUUCGAGAAUCUUAUUUAAAAAAUUUAAAAAGAUUUUCUUCACUCUUUAUUAGAGUAGGUGUCAUAUAUAUCUCUAAAAGAAAACCACAAAAAGAUUUUCCUUCAAUAGUUUCAAGUUUCAUUUUCAUAUGAAAUAAAAAAUUGAAAACCUAGAAGAUUUUUUUUUUGGUAAUCAUAAGUUUCAUUUUGUAUAGAAAUCUGAAAAAAAUUCAAAAAGAUUUUCUUUACUCUUUGUUAGAGUAGGUGUCAUAUAUAUCUUUAAAAGAAAACCACAAAAAGAUUUUUCUUUAAUAGUUUUAAGUUUUAUUUUUCGUAUGAAAUUCAAAAUUGAAAACCCAGAAAGAUUUUUCUUUGGUAAUCAUAAGUUUCAUUUUGUAUAGGAAGCUAAAAAUUUUAAAAAGAUUUUCGGCAAUUCUUUUGACAAUUUGCGAUAUUCUUUUCUUCUUAAAGUUUCAAGAAAAAAAAAAGAGUUGAUCGAUUGUUUUGUGGCCAAACAUCACGAUCUACGCACACCUGAUUCUCCUCUCUCGGGGGUGAGAUACGUAGGCGCCCUUCUUAGGUUCGGUGAUCUUUUUCAAAGAAAAGGAAAAAAAGAAAAAAGUUCUAAGAAAGUGUUGAACUCUAACACGUUUGUUAUCUCUUAUUCAGUUAGUUUAAGGUGGUUGGUUUGUGGCAUUGUGACAUCGUAGCUGGUCCUCUACAUCACACCAAAUCCAAGUAAGGGUUAGUUGUGUCCAACAAGGAUAUAGAGAAUGACAUCAUGGAUCAAAUAAAAAGUCAAGAAAAUGAGAGUUUAAAGCAAGAGAUUAGGAGACUAAGACAACAAAUGAUGAAAAUGCACCGAGCUUGGGCCAGUGGGUUGCCUCCUCCUUUGUUUCUCGCUAUUGAUCCCUUGAGUUAUUCACCUAAAUUGCAAAGUCAUAUUUCUACUGUUGUUGAUGCACCACAACAUGACUCGGGAUUUAUUCCAAGCCAAAUGCAUCCCAAUACUUCCACCACUCGUUCUCUAGCUUCUCAGUAUAAGCCUACUACAUUCACAACACCAAAUGUCAUCUAUGAGUUUGGUGCUCAACCUUCUACUGAGGCUUCCACCAAAUGGUUUCCCAUGCCGCUAGUGAACCCAUGUUCAAUACUCUUGAUGAUCAUCGCUAUACUCCUAAGUCUACUUUUAAGUUAACUGGACCAGCGAAAUUUCUUACCAAGAAGUCUGACAUGGAAGAAGAGCAAGAGAAGAUGGUUGGAAAAAUGAAGAGUGCAGAAAAUGCUACGAGAAGUUCCCUAGGACUCGUGGGUAAAGAAGAUGUUUCAUAUAAAGACUGGGGCAUGUCUUCAAGUGUCAACCUUUCUCAAAGUUUUGAGAUAUCAAAAUUUGAGGAGCGUGAUGGACAUAAAGAUGUCGUGCAACAUUUGGGACGAUAUUGUAAUCAAUUAAGGAAAACAGAAGGGAAGAAGAAUAAAAAUAUACCUAUUGUUGUUCCAGGGGCAAAGCAGAGCUCGAAAGGUCCCACUCAUUAAUAUUGCCAGUCUCAAGCCUAAGUUCAUUUCCAAGCUCCAUAUAAUCACUCCCAAAAUCCAUUAUACUUCACCCCCUCCAUAUCUAGUAUACUGCACGCAACCAUAUGUUCAACUUUCUUCUUACCCACAACAGCGUACAUCAACUCCUUAGAGUCAUCCUCUAACUCCAUAAAUAUAUCAAAGCCCUUCUAGGCCUGAUGUUUCAUCCAAUUCAAACAAUAAAAAGAGGAAAAAGUCUAGAGAUAGUUUCUCACCAAUUGUAGAGUCGUAUACUAGUUUAUUCCAGAGAUUGGUACAGUGGAGCAUGAUCAUUCCUCUCCUUGGGUAUACUCCUGAUCCGCAUUUAAGAAGUUUUGAUCCUAAUGUAUGAUGUGCAUAUCAUUCUAAUGUUCAGGGUUACAGUAUUGAAGAUUGUCGUGCUUUGAAAAGAGAAAUAGAAAAGAUGAUUCAAGAUAAAUCGAUUAUGGUGCAGAACAUUGAUGGUGUUGAAAGCUCUAGUCAUGCUGAUGUGCAAACCAGUGGCUAAGAUGUCAGGCUUAACAAAUGAGAAG